rnacentral:rRNA from 1 species
UAUGUAGGCGGUUCUCCAAGUCUGGUGUGAAAUCUCCCGGCUCAACCGGGAGGGUGCAUUGGAAACUGGGGGGCUGGAGUGCGGGAGAGGGAAGCGGAAUUCCUGGUGUAGCGGUGAAAUGCGUAGAUAUCAGGAGGAACACCCGCGGUGUAGACGGCUUCCUGGACCGUAACUGACGCUGAGAUACGAAAGCGUGGGGAGCAAACA